rnacentral:misc_RNA from 1 species
AACGCACAUUGCGCCCCCUGGUAUUCCGGGGGGCAUGCCUGUCCGAGCGUCAUUACAACCCUCAAGCUCAGCUUGGUGUUGGGCCCCGCCGCCCCGGCGGGCCCUAAAGUCAGUGGCGGUGCCGUCCGGCUCCGAGCGUAGUAAUUCUUCUCGCUCUGGAGGUCCGGUCGUGUGCUUGCCAUCAACCCCCAAUUUUUUUCAGGUUGACCUCGGAUCAGGUAGGGAUACCCGCUGAACUUAA